UACGUAGGGUGCAAGCGUUAAUCGGAAUUACUGGGCGUAAAGCGUGCGCAGGCGGUGAUGUAAGACAGGUGUGAAAUCCCCGGGCUUAACCUGGGAACUGCAUUUGUGACUGCAUCGCUGGAGUGCGGCAGAGGGGGAUGGAAUUCCGCGUGUAGCAGUGAAAUGCGUAGAUAUCUGGAGGAAUACCGGUGGCGAAGGCAGGUCUCUGGGCUAUAACUGACGCUCAUGCACGAAAGCGUGGGGAGCAAACAGG
rnacentral:rRNA from 1 species